CAGCUGGUGGCACACUUCCUGAUUAAGGGCAGUGAAUCCACUGUGCGUCACGCACACCAGAUACCCGGCCCGCAAUAAUGCGGGCUUUUUUUU
rnacentral:sRNA from 1 species